UGUUUCCUAUAAGAAUAGUAAGACUAAAACCUACAUAACUAUUUUUUACAUAAUAAUUAUUACAUAAUUCUGUUCAUAAUUAAUCGAUCCACAAGACAUAUAUUAUAUGACGCAAACCAUAAUCAAUCCAUCCAUAGUCCAUUCAUAGUUGUUCAAUAAAUUAAUUAUAUAAUUCAAUUGAAUAAUUGUUCUAUUGCUCAUCUAAAAA
rnacentral:lncRNA from 1 species